AUGCGUUACUGACUGGCGUGAUCUAAAGGGUUUCCUUUCAAGAUUAACUUCACAGGCCAUUGAUAGGUUACAGUCCCUAAUUUGGACACUGGAAGUGCCCGCCUUCAGUUGCCCAUGGUGUGGAAAGUACCCAGGCCAGCUUGCUAUGAUCAGGCCCCGUCUCCAGGCCCGAUGAUCUGGGCAGAGCUGUCUUCAUGGACUCUGGCCUUGCCUGAAAUGGAAAAAACUCACCCUAAAACAUAUGGAAUUUCAAGGAACUCCUGGAGAGUCAAAACAGUCUUGAGCAAGAACAAAGUUGGAGGACUCACACUUCCUGAUUUCAAAAUUUACUACCUUAAAAAAUGUUCAAAGCUACAUUAAUCAAAACAGUGUGGCGUUGGCACAAGGAUAGAUAUAUAGACCAAUAAAAUAGAAUUGAGAGUCCAGAAAUAAACCCUUACAUCUAUGGUUAAUGGAUUUUUGAAAGGGUGCCAAGACCAGUCAGUGGGGAAGGAACAGUAUCUUCGACGAUUGGUGCUGGGAAAAGUGGAUAUCCACAUAGAAAAAAAAUUAAGUUGCACCCUUCUCUUACACUAUGCAAAAAUUAACUCAAAAUGAAUCAAAGAUCUAAAUGUAAGAGCUAAACCUUUUGGAAGAAAACAUACAAGCAAAUCUACAGGACCUUGGAUUUAACAAUGGUUUCUUAAAUAUAACAUCAAAAGCGUAGGCAGCAAAAGAAAAAAUAGGUAAAGUGGACUUCAUUCAAACUAACAAUUUCUGUACAUCAAAGGAUCCCUAUCAAGAGAGUGAAAAGACAACAUACAGAAUGGGAGAAGUCUUCUGCAAAAUGUGUAUCUGAUAAGGGCUUAAUAUUUAGGAUAUAUGAAGAAUUCCUACAACUCAAUAACAAGAGGGCAAAUGACCCAAUUCAAAAAUGGGCAAAGGACUUGAACAGACAUUUCUCCAAAGAAGAUGUACAAAUGGCCAAUAAGCACCUGAAAAGAUGCUCAGCAUCGUUAGUUAUCAGAAAAAUGCAAAUCAAAACCACAAAGAGACACCCCUUCACGCCAAACAGAAUGGCCAUAAUCAAAAUAAUAGACACUAACAAAUGUUGGUGAGGAUGUGGAGAAAUUGAAAUCUUCAUACGGUUGCUGGCGGUAAAGUAAGUUGUGCAGCCGCUGUGGAGAAGUCUGGCCAUUCCUCAAAAAGUUAAACAUAGGAUUACCAUAUGACCAACAACUCUACUCCUUGGUAUGAAUCCCGAAGAACU
rnacentral:lncRNA from 1 species